rnacentral:misc_RNA from 1 species
GAGUUCAAAGACCUUAAGAGCAGAUUCCCAACGCAAAGCAGUAAUACGUUCAUGAAGAGCUUCAAGAACAGUACGAGGCAAUAAUUUCUUCGAAUUCCCUUUCUUCUUCUUAUACUCAAUCACUGCUUUAGCAGCUUCUCUUCGAAGAAUAAUCGAUACAGCUUUCUGUGAAGCUAUCUUUUUGUUUGUUUCCUCUUUCCUUUCCUUUGCUUCCUUCACCUUCAGCUUCUCAAACUCCAUUGAAG